rnacentral:lncRNA from 1 species
CCGGGUCCCGGCGGGUUCCGCGAGCGGCGAUCGGCCUCCCGGGCUCGCCCGGGCGGGGCUCUGGAGGACGAACGGCGGCUCCCGGCGUUGGGGACAGAGGGCAGGGCGGAGGCCCGGGCUGCUCGGAAAGGGGCCGGGGCCGGGCCUUCCGAAAGCUCCUGGGCGGCCCUGCCGGAACCCUGCUCUCCACUGCGGCCUGCAGGGCUGUUACCAGGAGCCCUGCCUGCCCGCCCCACGUCUAGCCCCCUGCACACGGCAGCAGCCUUGAGCCAUUCAGUCUCCUUAGGUGUCCUGAAAUAUGCCGAGAACGCUGCCCGCCACAGCCGUGAGUGUAUGCGUUGCUGCUGCCCCAGCCCUCAUUUGGCAAGGGUGAGCUCAGGCAGCUGUGGUGAAGGCUUCCUGAGCCCGCCGGCAGAGCUCCUGCCACCCCGUACCUGUCCCCUCCUGGGCAUCGUCCUUGAUUACUUGUCUGGACCGCCACCCCCGGUCCCCGCCCUGAGAUGGGGAAGACCCCACAAGCAGCAACGCAGACUUACUCUUUUGUUUCUCCAGCUGGAUGUCUCCUCCAGCGACAGUUCCCCUUGCCCUCUUGAUCCUGACAGCGAAGGGGUUCCCCACCCCUAGCCCUACAGACUUAGGACUUUUCCUAGAAACGAGAAGUGCCCAAGGCCCACAGCUGGCCCCUGUUGGAGUCUCUUUCCUGAAGCCACCACCACUGUGGCCACUCCCAAGGAAGAUGCCAACCAUACCAUGAAACCCAUGGCUUCUCACGGGACAGACUUUACUGAGAUGUACCAACUCAAGUAUCUGAAAUGACUGCACACCCAUGCUAACCUCCACGGGGGCACUUGGUCCUACUUACACACAAAGGCCCAUCAGCUCACGGAACAGGGCUGGCAUACGAGAUGCUCAAUGCAUACAAGUUGACUUUUCAACCCUGGGAUCUACCUUUGAAGGCCAGGCCUUCCGAGGGUACCUUCUAGCAUGUGCAUGUGAAGCUGGACUCCUUUGAGCAGUUGUCUCCUCCAGCCCCUUACCAACCUGGUGAGGCUGCUCCUGAGAGCCAAGGAAGCCCUUCCCGUCACACGCUGGAGCAGUGUGCCUGGAGAGCACUGGCUUGGAAGAAGCUGAGGGGCCAGCGAGGCCAGCAUAUGGAGGAGGCUUCCCUUGGCCGCUCGUGGCAGGCCUGAAGGCAGCUACCUGUGUCCAGGGACAGCCAGAUCCAAUGAGGAAACGCAGCACCAUGCUGUCAUGUGAGCUGGAGGGGGACUUCUGUCUUAUAAUGAAAGCCCAGACCUUGAGUCACUUUCACAGAGAGAUUUAUCGAGAAUGCUAACAGCACAGGAUACAGUACUUCCCAACAAAAGGUGCAAACGCGU